UGGGGAAUUUUGGACAAUGGGGGCAACCCUGAUCCAGCAAUGCCGCGUGUGUGAAGAAGGCCUUCGGGUUGUAAAGCACUUUUGUCCGGAAAGAAAACUUCGGGGCUAAUACCCCUGGAGGAUGACGGUACCGGAAGAAUAAGCACCGGCUAACUACGUGCCAGCAGCCGCGGUAAUACGUAGGGUGCGAGCGUUAAUCGGAAUUACUGGGCGUAAAGCGUGCGCAGGCGGUGCUGUAAGACCGAUGUGAAAUCCCCGGGCUUAACCUGGGAACUGCAUUGGUGACUGCAGCGCUGGAGUAUGGCAGAGGGGGGUGGAAUUCCACGUGUAGCAGUGAAAUGCGUAGAGAUGUGGAGGAACACCGUUGGCGAAGGCAGCCCCCUGGGCCAAUACUGACGCUCAUGCACGAAAGCGUGGGGAGCAAACAGG
rnacentral:rRNA from 1 species